rnacentral:rRNA from 1 species
GGUUAAGCGACUAAGCGUACACGGUGGAUGCCCUGGCAGUCAGAGGCGAUGAAGGACGUGCUAAUCUGCGAUAAGCGUCGGUAAGGUGAUAUGAACCGUUAUAACCGGCGAUUUCCGAAUGGGGAAACCCAGUGUGAUUCGUCACACUAUCAUUAACUGAAUCCAUAGGUUAAUGAGGCGAACCGGGGGAACUGAAACAUCUAAGUACCCCGAGGAAAAGAAAUCAACCGAGAUUCCCCCAGUAGCGGCGAGCGAACGGGGAGCAGCCCAGAGCCUGAAUCAGUGUGUGUGUUAGUGGAAGCGUCUGGAAAGGCGCGCGAUACAGGGUGACAGCCCCGUACACAAAAAUGCACAUACUGUGAGCUCGAUGAGUAGGGCGGGACACGUGGUAUCCUGUCUGAAUAUGGGGGGACCAUCCUCCAAGGCUAAAUACUCCUGACUGACCGAUAGUGAACCAGUACCGUGAGGGAAAGGCGAAAAGAACCCCGGCGAGGGGAGUGAAAAAGAACCUGAAACCGUGUACGUACAAGCAGUGGGAGCACGCUUAGGCGUGUGACUGCGUACCUUUUGUAUAAUGGGUCAGCGACUUAUAUUCUGUAGCAAGGUUAACCGAAUAGGGGAGCCGAAGGGAAACCGAGUCUUAACUGGGCGUUAAGUUGCAGGGUAUAGACCCGAAACCCGGUGAUCUAGCCAUGGGCAGGUUGAAGGUUGGGUAACACUAACUGGAGGACCGAACCGACUAAUGUUGAAAAAUUAGCGGAUGACUUGUGGCUGGGGGUGAAAGGCCAAUCAAACCGGGAGAUAGCUGGUUCUCCCCGAAAGCUAUUUAGGUAGCGCCUCGUGAAUUCAUCUCCGGGGGUAGAGCACUGUUUCGGCAAGGGGGUCAUCCCGACUUACCAACCCGAUGCAAACUGCGAAUACCGGAGAAUGUUAUCACGGGAGACACACGGCGGGUGCUAACGUCCGUCGUGAAGAGGGAAACAACCCAGACCGCCAGCUAAGGUCCCAAAGUCAUGGUUAAGUGGGAAACGAUGUGGGAAGGCCCAGACAGCCAGGAUGUUGGCUUAGAAGCAGCCAUCAUUUAAAGAAAGCGUAAUAGCUCACUGGUCGAGUCGGCCUGCGCGGAAGAUGUAACGGGGCUAAACCAUGCACCGAAGCUGCGGCAGCGACGCUGAUGCGUUGUUGGGUAGGGGAGCGUUCUGUAAGCCUGUGAAGGUGUGCUGUGAGGCAUGCUGGAGGUAUCAGAAGUGCGAAUGCUGACAUAAGUAACGAUAAAGCGGGUGAAAAGCCCGCUCGCCGGAAGACCAAGGGUUCCUGUCCAACGUUAAUCGGGGCAGGGUGAGUCGACCCCUAAGGCGAGGCCGAAAGGCGUAGUCGAUGGGAAACAGGUUAAUAUUCCUGUACUUGGUGUUACUGCGAAGGGGGGACGGAGAAGGCUAUGUUGGCCGGGCGACGGUUGUCCCGGUUUAAGCGUGUAGGCUGGUUUUCCAGGCAAAUCCGGAAAAUCAAGGCUGAGGCGUGAUGACGAGGCACUACGGUGCUGAAGCAACAAAUGCCCUGCUUCCAGGAAAAGCCUCUAAGCAUCAGGUAACAUCAAAUCGUACCCCAAACCGACACAGGUGGUCAGGUAGAGAAUACCAAGGCGCUUGAGAGAACUCGGGUGAAGGAACUAGGCAAAAUGGUGCCGUAACUUCGGGAGAAGGCACGCUGAUAUGUAGGUGAAGUCCCUCGCGGAUGGAGCUGAAAUCAGUCGAAGAUACCAGCUGGCUGCAACUGUUUAUUAAAAACACAGCACUGUGCAAACACGAAAGUGGACGUAUACGGUGUGACGCCUGCCCGGUGCCGGAAGGUUAAUUGAUGGGGUCAGCGCAAGCGAAGCUCUUGAUCGAAGCCCCGGUAAACGGCGGCCGUAACUAUAACGGUCCUAAGGUAGCGAAAUUCCUUGUCGGGUAAGUUCCGACCUGCACGAAUGGCGUAAUGAUGGCCAGGCUGUCUCCACCCGAGACUCAGUGAAAUUGAACUCGCUGUGAAGAUGCAGUGUACCCGCGGCAAGACGGAAAGACCCCGUGAACCUUUACUAUAGCUUGACACUGAACAUUGAGCCUUGAUGUGUAGGAUAGGUGGGAGGCUUUGAAGUGUGG